GACGAACGCUGGCGGCGUGCUUAACACAUGCAAGUCGAGCGGUAAGGCCCUUUCGGGGGUACGACGAGCGGCGAACGGGUGAGUAACACGUGGGUGACCUGCCCUCCAGCUCUGGGAGUAAGCCUGGGAAACCGGGUCUAAUACUGGAUAUGACUCCAUGACGCAUGUUGUGGGGUGGAAAGCCUUGUGCGGCUGAGGAUGGGCCCGCGGCCUAUCAGCUUGUUGGUGGGGUGAGGCCUACCAAGGCGACGACGGGUAGCCGGCCUGAGAGGGCGACCGGCC
rnacentral:rRNA from 1 species